rnacentral:lncRNA from 10 species
GAGAAAAGUGAGGCAUAUUGAGAGGUCUAGGGCACAGUUUCCAAAUCUGCCUGUUCCCCAAAAUAUCCUGGAGAGCCUUUAAAAAAUAUGGAUACCUCAGUUCUACUCAUAGAAGUCCCGAUUAAGUAGAUCUGGGAUGAAGCUGGGAAUCAUUUUUAAAAGCUCACUAGUUGAUGAUCAUCCCUAUUGGUCGUUGGUCUAACAGGCCACACGACCUUGUUGCUUUUCUCUACAAGGAGUAUCAUGAAAGAUACUAUGUACAAGCAAAAACAAUCGAUAUUUUCAUUUUUAAUAAUCUCUCUUCCCCAGGCUAAACUUACACUUUAAGGACAGUGCAACACUGAGCAAUUAGUAGCAACAAAUUUCAGCUCAUUGUCACUCCAAGUGUGACAGAGUUGGGCUGUCAAAAUCUAGCCCUCCUCAUUCACUCACUCAAAGGAGUAGUGGUGAUGCCACUGUCAGUUAGGACUACUGGGUGAUGCUGAAGAGACUGUCAGAUGGUAGAUGAGAUGGGUCCCAGCGUGUCAGACCUUGAUCCUGCAGAGAGCUGGCAUGUGAGAGAGGUCAGGCUGUCUCCUCACUGCCCCAAUACUGCGUCAAGCUAACUCCCACCACUGUGUAGUUUUCCCCAGGCUGGGGUCCCACUCCACUCCUCCCCACCUAUCCCAAACCUUCACACUCUUCAAGGGCUCCCUUUUCAUUAAGAAUCCCCCAACUCCCACUGGGCAGAACGCCUAUUGCAUUGAUAACCAGCACAAUUCCUAGUCUGAAUAAUUCCUUUAAAAAAAACAUAGAAAUUGGCCAGGCACAGUGGCUCACACCUGUAAUUCCAGCACUUUGGGAAGCUGAGGCGGACGGAUAGCUUAAGGCCAGGAGUUCGAGACCAGCCUGGCCAACAUGGUGAAACCCCGUCUCUACUAAAAAUACAAAAAAAUUAGCCAGGUGUGGUGGCACGCACCUGUAAUCUCAGCUACUUGGGAGGCUGAGACAUGAGAACUGCUUGAACCCGAGAGGUGGAGGUUGCAGUGAACCGAGAUUGUGCCACUGCACUCCAGCCUAGGCAACAGAGUGAGACUCUGUCUCAAAAAAACAAAAACACUAAUUGUUAUUCUUUCACAUUCAUACUUCCUGUUCCUGCGCAAGGUGUGGGAGGUGUGGUGAACAUUUGUGAUUCAUUUUGGCUGCCCUGCAUCUGAACCCCUUCCUAUGUUUGUGAAAUUCCUUGCCUCAUGCAUGGGUGCCCACAUCCCACUAAAAACCAGAAACUUCCAGAUACUCUAUUUCCAGCUUCCCUUGCAGCUAGGAUGUGGGCAUAUGGCUCGGGACUCUGGCCCCAAACUUAGAGUUGACAACUAAUGAUGAAAAGAAACAGGGUUUGUAGAGAAUCUGUUCAAGUUUCAGCUGCAGCCAGAGCAGAGGCUCAGGCUGUGGUGUGCAGAGUCCAAUGCCAGGAUGCGGGUGGUGCAAACCCUGGAGUCCUGGAUCUUGCUGUGAUGACAAUGGGGUUAUUCCUUAUUCCUGUACUUAUUAUUCCUGUGGAGUUACCCAGUGGUGCUUCCUGCUUACAGCCUCUCAUGGUUUCUGCCUUUUUCUGAGCCUAGCUCCUCAGCCUUUCAGUUACACGUUUACUACUAAAUUUAUUUUAAUUUCAAGUCAGCUAAAGUUGCUUGCAACUGAGUACUCUAUGUCAAGUAGAUUUCAACUAUAGAAGUAUGGAAGAUACUGAAAAAUUGAAUAUUUAGGAUUCAAAGUAAGGCUCAGAAUCUGAGCCUUUGAGGCCAGGGGCUGUUGUGCAUACCUUUUGUAUCCCAGCAGAGAGGCUGGCCUGUAGUGAAUGCUUGGUAAAUGCUUGUUGAUUGAUUGAUUUUCACGAGCAUGAAUGAGCAUGAUCCUCAUGGCCCAGUCAUUCCCACUUCUUCCCAUGCUUGUGUUAUGUGCAUUUCCCAGAUACAGCAAGAGUCCCUUCAUUUUUGGUUGUUAGUGCAUUGUCUGAGGGCUAUUUCAGCCUUUUCUGAUUUCCUUUUGGACUUUGACUUAUGAGAAAAUUAUAUCCAGAGGAUUUAAGUUUUCUCCAGGACACAUUCAAAUACCUGCUCUUCUUUUAAACUGAGUGAUCCCAGGCCCCAGUCAGACCCUGCAAGAGGCUCAAAAAUCUAGGAGUCCAGAGGACAAAGGUCAGCUCAUUUCCAGCAAGUUCCUUGGUUAGGCAUGCCCCCCUCACCUUGAGUAGGUGAGAAAGGCCAUCCCAGUCACUGAUUCCCACACCAUUCCACUGGAAACUGGGAGGACUUUAGGGGCAGCUGUAGACAGAAGCCACACAUGAUGCCUCCAAGCAGGCCAACAGGGCAUUGCCAAAUAGGCUGUUUGUUGAGUAAGACUUGGCCAUGACCUUUGCCAUGGGAUAGCCUCUCCCCGUGACAUUUAUGAGGACCAGAUCCCCUCUGGGAGUUUACCAGCCACACCGGAAGCAUACCAAGGGCAGCUGACAUAACUCUAAUUCUAGAGAACAAAAGCCAAAAUUGCCCACAGAAGUUCUGUCUGGCCAUGUCAUUGUUAAAGGCCCUCAAGGUUAACUCCAUUCGCUUGCCAGUGUUGGCUCUUUCUUAGCAAAAACUCAUCUGUGCUGACGUCUGCCUUUCCUGAGUCAUGCCAAGGGUGUCUCUGCCCAGCCGAGAAUCUAUGAACAAUGAGCAUGAAUGAAACAGCUUCUUCUGCCUCCAGAAACCACUGGAGGAGCCAUGCCAUGUGGCUGGGUGAUAACUAAAGUGUCUGUCUCCUCUUCUUUUUCUUUUUGUUGAUACAGCCUGGACCCACGCCUUCAUCAAUCUACUGUCAGGGAUAGAUUGUGCAUUUUCUGUGUCCCAGUGGGUGCCCCCCCCCCAAAAUAGAGCAGACAAAGCCUGGCCUGCGAGGGUACUGGUUUAGUUCAACAAAUAUCCAUAGAAUGCCCACUUAGGCAAAAUGGCAUAGGGCAGAUUGCCAAAAUCAGGGUUGACUCGGCCUGGAGCCAUGAAGUGGGUCCAACAGGUCUCUGAACUGAGGCAGGAGGCCCCAGGAUCCCGAGGUGUGCUGUAAAGCCUUUGAUGACAGCAUCUUGUGCCUAACACCUGACCACAUCUGAGCCACUAGAGACAGUACCUGAUAAGGAUGCAGAUGCCUGGGCCCUACCUUCCAAAGUUCUGGCUCAGUAGGUCUGGGGGAAGACCAGUAAUCUUCAUUUUAACAAAGACCACUGACGGUUCUGAUGCAGGUGGUCCAAGGACCACACCUGGAGAAACUUCCACCUCUAGGAGCAUCUGGGGUAAAAACUUCACCCAAACUUCCUAAGGUCACAACAUAUCCCCCCCAACAGAGGAAGCAGUAACUUUUGGCCACAGCCCCUAGAGAGGGGAUUUGCCUGGCGUUUCUAUACUGUCCUCUGUCCAAGGACAAAGUGUGCCUUACCCCACAACUGCUUUGUGGUUAAAAGCUUCUAUUGAGGGAUAGUUUAUUUACUUCUAGCACUAUGAAGCAAUAUAGUGAGGUUUUUGUUUCCUUUGAAUCCCAGUCAUUUUAUGCUGCAGAAAAUCUAGAGUUUUUGCCACAGUGGAGGACUCUGCUUAAGGACUACCUAUCUGGGUCUGGUAAUAGCUACCCCAACCCAACGGUCCUGAACGAGUAAUAUGGUUCGACUGUUUCCCUCCCCACCUCCAAAUCUCAUCUUGAAUUGUAGUUCCCAUAAUCCCCACGUGUUGUGGGAGGGACCUGGUGGGAGGUAAUUGAAUCAUGGGGGCGGUUAGCCUCAUGUUGUUCUCCUGAUAGUGAGUUCUCACAAGAUCUGAUGGUUUUAUAAGGGGUUUUUCCUCCUUUUGCUUGGCACUUCUUGCUGCCACCAUGUGAAGAAGGACAUAUUUGCUUCCCCUUAUGCCAUGACUGUAAGUUUCCUGAGGCCUCCUGAGCCAUGUGGAACUGUGAGUCAAUUAAACCUCUUUCCUUUAGAGAUUACCCAGUCUCAGAUAUGUCUUUAUUAGCAGAGUGAGAAUGGGCUAAUACAAUGAGAUAGAACUUAAAUCCCCUGCAUGCUCAUCAGAGGAGGCUCCAUAGAAGAUCAUGGACCUUGAACAAGGUGCAAGUAAGCCUAGAUGCAAUGCAAUGGAUUAGGGAUUCCAGGCUUGAAAACCAGUGGGAAGGAAGGGGUCAGGUGGGAGUGGUCCUCAGUUCCUGUGUGGGCUCUGGCAUCAGGCAGCACACAGGAGUCUUCCCUGCUGGUGGGGAGAGAAAGAGGCAGUAGAAGGGGUCCCGAGCUGGAAGGAUCAGCAGCCACUGCAGACUACUGAUGGAGGCAGUGCCAGGGAGGAAGAGGGUCGUGCCUAGUGGUGUCCAGGCAUUGGCAUGCAGGAGGCAGUCCAGGCACUGGUACCCGGGAGAGUUAAAACUGGGGGAAGGGAAGACAGCAGGGGAUUCUCACAAGGAAUGUGGAGCAGAGGCCCAGGCAGGGGGCCAUCAAGGUGGAGAGGACUGAACCUGGAAAUGGAAGCUUUCCAAGUCACACAUUGAAGAGUAUCAGCAAGGUCUUAAGCCCUGGAACAGUGAGGGAUGGCAUCAGGACAAACUGAGGUCAGUGAGUGUGUUGGCAGCGGACCAGGCUCCGAACGGCACAAACUCCGUCUGGGAUGGGGAAUCUAGCAGAAGACCUAGGAAGAAUUUGAAGAGGGUUCAGAGGUGAAUUAGGGAUGCUUGUAGCUUUUGUGUGGGCAGUGCGUUACUGGGGUGUAGUCCUCAUUGAAGGCCCAAGAUUCUGCCUCUAAGGGUGUAACUCUGCUGAAUCCAGCACCUGAGAGGCUGUCCAGAGCAGGCAGGAGGUCAGCUGUCAGGCUGUGGGCCCAGUUUUAGAGUCAAAUUGAAUUUCCAGUGGGGAAGACCAAAGCUGAAGUCCAUCCCCCAGAGGAUGAGAGAAAGGAAGGCUGCAGCUCAGGCAGCUCAGGGAGUCUGAGGCAGCAAACGAGCUCUGGACCUUGAAGUGGGGAGAGGAAGUCCUUUCACCUCAUCACAGUGCUCACAUCACCUCAGAAACCAGGUGGGACACACAGCUGUGACAGGUGAGAGAUGAUUCCAUUGGUGCCUGGGAUACCAGAUUCAUGCUGGGAAGUAGGAUGGAUGUGGUGGUUUGCAAAAGGCUUUGUCUGCUAAAUUGAGGAUACUGGAUCAUACCCCAAGAGAAAGGGGAGCUCCAAUGGAAAAGCCACCUGCAUCAUGAUGCUGCCUGUCACUUGACUGAGCGUUCCUGCUGCCCAGAAGCUCCUGUUGUCCUCCCAACUGACGGGAUGCUCUUGGACAGUGAUGCCAGCUGGAAUUAAGACUGGGUUUCCAAGGCCACUGUGACCACCAUGAUUAAUCAAUCCCUACUGCUAGGGCUCCAACAUGCCUCAGCCAGAAAGCUGUCAUCUCUUUCCUGGGAACAUUCCUUAAGAAAGAACCAUCAUGGGGUUGGAUGAAACUAAACUUGCAAAGAAGGUGAUGUGUAACCAAGUUGGAGUGUGGAGUGUGGGGUCAAAGAUGAUGGCAUUCUGUGUGGAUCCGCAGUGGUAGGAAUGGAGGUGAGGAGGAAGAAAUGAAUCCAGGAGGCAGCGUGACAGAAAACACAGACUUUGGUGACGACAUGUGAGAAGCUGUAAACUGAUAAGAAGAAAAGACGUCUCCAGCACGUUUGGGUUAGUGUCAUCAACCCAUGGAUCCUGCCCACAGCAAGACUUGGCCCAGUCACAACCCCCUUUCUAGCAAUGUGGAGAUAAAUGUCUUCAACAGAAAGGGUUGGGAAUCCCAUGUGACAGCCGAGCUCUGUUCUGCCUUUGACAGAGUCUGAUGCGAAGUGGAUCAUCUCAGGGAUGUGCCUUGCUGGCUUCACCCACCUGGAGCCUCAGGGGAAGUCUCAGGUGGGAGAUGUUAAUUUGAGAGGCCUGGGUAUAAAAGUAAUCCCAAGAUGUCACAAGAUAGAAUACUUUCUCUGAGGCACAAACAGGGAGAAAAACAAGAACAGAACCCCUUAGCAGGACACUCAUAAUAAGAAGAAUUAGGAAAAGAAAAGGGAACCCGGGGUGACACAAAACUGGGGGAGUCUGUUACCACAAGGUAGAUGGCUACCUCCAGUUGGACAAAUUUCCAUGGACCACCAUGCAAUUUCUGGAGAUGCCGCCUUUGAUCCCCUCUUCUCCCUUUGCUCCUCCCUCAUCUCCACACUCAAAGUGCACAUUAUUCAGAUGUCCAGCACGCCCCUAAAUCAACUUGACUUCUCUUGUUCCUUGGCAGAUUCAAGGACCAGCCUUCAUUGGAUUUGGGGUGGAAGCUACAUGCUUGUGUCAAGGGUUGUAAUCCCAAGUCUGGUCCUGUUUUCUGCAAACAAUAUCAUUGUAAACACAUUGAAUGUGUCUGAAUGGGAUUCACAUAACCUAUUCAAAGGUUAAUAUCACAAGACUGAUACUGAGCUGGAAGCUCUGAAAUGUACUUGUGCUCAGGGAAGAUAUUUGCUAAUGUUUGGCUUUAAUUUCCCCUGGAACUUGUACACAUCAGUGAGGCCUGGGGAUAAUGAAUAACAGCAUGGACAAUAAAUUUUAAAACAAACAAAAUAAAAACUCAAAGAACAUUAAUGCAGACCAGUGCUGGGAUAUGAUGUGUGUUACAAGAGAGUAAUGAUUACUCUUGGUGAGCAGAUUCUAUUAUCUGCUUCUUAGGAGCAAUAGGUGGCUGCCUCUUGAUUGUAUUAGUCCUGGAGUUAUAAAAUCCUCAGUCCUUUACAAUGCAAAAGUGACACAUGGGGCGAGUAAGCAGGUAAGAGAAGGAGCAAUUGGAGGAAGAGAAAUGAGAUCUGUGGCAGGGGCUAUUGGCUUUCCACUAAAACCCAUUCUCUACUUCUUGCUGGGCAAGAACUAGGCAGUAUUUACCAGCCCCUCUUGCAUUUGGGGUGGCCACAAACGAAUUCUGGCCAGUGGAGUGAGGGGCUUCUCAGACAGCAGCCUGCCCCUUCCACACUCCUGUUCCCCUUGCAGUGGCUCAAAGCCCUUGGGUGAUGAUGGAGCCAUAGCUGGAAGAAGCCUGGGUCCCUGGGUCCCCCGUGGAGCCUCCACGCGGGAAGGUGGUCUAGAAAUACACUUCCAUAUUUCAGCCAGCAUGCCUUGGGAUCUUUUUUUAAUGGUGGUUCAGCCUACCCUAACUAAAGCUGGGCCCACUCAGCACGCCCCACACAGGGAUUCUGAAAUGGGAGCAGGGUCCACCAAAACUCUGCUUUUCAGAGAGCUCACACCCUAGGGGAGUAUAAAAGUGACGAGGACACUGGAGCUGGCAGGCAAGACCCAGGAUGCCAAAAUUAGGGCCCCUAAACACAGCAGGGAGGGUGAGCUAUCCUCUUGUGAGGUGGGAGGAGGGUCUCCGUGAGCAGGGCUCUUCUUGGGCCAAACCUGGAUCAUGAGGAGGAGGGAGAGAUGCUGAAUAUGACAUGUCAUUCAAAGUGCUGUCUGGAAAUUUGAGUUCGUUUCUUCAGUAGAGGCAGCACAGGUUAAUCAGACAAACCAGCCAUCAACAGGCUUCCUUUGAGGAGCUUGGUAAGAAUGGAAAACCCAGGGCUGAGGGGCUUACAGAGCUUACAGAGCAGCACAGUAUCAGGGGCCCAAGGCACCAGGAGCUCCUCUGGAAAUUGGCGGGAACAGCUGGAGCAAAGCCGAGGUGAUGGUACCCCUGGUGGCGGGACGGCAGCGACCCUCCAUGGUAUAAGGAGUGGUGAGACCCCAAGGGACAGUGUGCAAGGACUCUGAUGGCAGCAACACUCCUCUAGGAGCUGAUGAGAAAGGCCUGGAAUCCCAAGAUGCACCCCUGAGGUUCAACUCCUACCCUGAUCAUCUCCUCCAAGAUUCUGUGACCUGGGGAAGUCAACAGUACAUUUCAACACCUAUGAUGUCAGCAUGUGAAUGACAUUCCAAUGCUGCUCAUGGGGUCACCCCUGCAAAGGUGAACUCAGUGGAAAGACCUUGCCAAACCGGAAGGAAAACAGGAUACUUUUCUCCAAAAUACUCAUUCAAUAAAUAUUUGCUUAGGCAUUACAAAGACAAAUAAGACUUGCCCCUACCUGUUAGAGGUAUGUAUGUCGAGAAAAGGAAGGAGUGAUUCAAUAAGAGAAACAGCAUUCAGGGAAGAGAAAGAAGGAAGACAUAAAAAUUCAGGUCAUAUUAGAAUAAUAUAUAUAACAAUGAGUUUGGCUAUAUUUCAGAAUUUUCCCAAAAUAUUUCUUUCAAAUUUGAUUGACAUUCUAAACUAUUUAGCUUGAUAUAAAUGAGAUCUUUGUGUACCCUCAGCAGGAACUGCAUUUUAGCUGGUUUUAAAUCUCAACAAUCACUUUCCUGCCUUGGAGAAGGUAUGAACCAGGCUGUUUAUGUAGAAUCCAGGUGGGUUUGAGAGCAGCUUCAGCUGAAUGGAGAGUGACAGGGAGGCUGAGGAAGGGAGGGAGGGGACCCAUGGGCUGUCAUACCCGGGGACUUAGGAAGGCUCUUGCUCUUGCUGGAAGGGUUGCAAAUCCCUAAACCAAGUAAUCCCAUCCCUAAACCAAGUAAUCCCAUUAAAACAUGAAACAUCCAGAGUAAAAUUAAGUUUAGAAUACUAUUUGCAAAGCCAAACAUAGUCUUACCAUAGGAUCCAGGCAUCACACUCCUUGGUAUUUACCCAAAUGGGUUGGAAACUUCCAUAUAAAAAUCUGCACACAGGCCGGGUACGGUGGCUCACGCCUGUAAUCUCAGCACUUUGGGAGGCUGAGGCGGAUGGAUCACCUGAGGUCGGGAGUUCAAGACCAGCCUGACCAACAUGGAGAAACCCUAUCUCUGCUAAAAAUACAAAAUUAGCCAGGCGUGGUGGCACAUGCCUGUAAUACCAGCUACUCAAGGGGCUGAUGCAGGAGAAUUGCUUGAACCCAGGAGGCAGAGGUUGCGGUGAGCCGAGAUUGUGCCAUUGCACUCCAGCCUGGGCAACAAGAGUGAAACUCUGUCUCAUAAAAUAAAUAAAUAAAUAAAUAUAAACCUACACACAGGCCAGGCAGGGUGGCUCACCCUGUAAUCUCAGCACUUUGGGAGGCCGAGGCGGGUGGGGUGGAUCACGAGGUCAGGAGAUCAAGACCAACUUGGCCAAGACGGUGAAACCUCAUCUCUACUAAUAAUACAAAAAUUAGCUGGGCAUGGUGGCACAUGCCUGUAAUCCCAGCUACUCAGGAGGCUGAGACAGGAGAACCGCUUGAACCAGGGAGUCGGAAGUUGUGGUGAGCCGAGAUCACACCACUGCACUCCAGCCUGGUGACAGAGUGAGACUCUGUCUAAAAAAAAAACCUGCACACAAAUAUUCAUGGUAGCUUUAUUCAUACUUGCCAAAACCUGGAAGCAACCAAGAUGUCCUUCAAUAGGUGAAUGGGUAAAUAAACUGUGGUACAUCCAGACAAUGCAAUAUUAUUUGGUGAUUAAAAAAAAAGAAAUGAGUUAAAAUCUUGGAUUUCUUUUUUUUAAAUGAGUUAUAAAGCCACAGAAAGACCUUAAAUACAUAUUGUUAAGUGAAAGAAGCCAGCCUGCAAAGCUACAUCUAUACAUGACUGUAUGACAUUCUAGAAAAGGCAAAACUAUAGAGACAGUGAAAACAUCAGGGAUUGCCAGGGGUUAAGAGGGAAGGAAGGAUGAAAAGGCAGAGGACAGAGGAUUUUAAGGCCGGUGAAACAAUUCUAUAUCAUACCAGAAUGGUGGAUAUAUGGGCUGGGGCUCAGAAAACAAUACCCCCAAAUGAAUGCCUCAGAAGCAAAAGUUUCUCCUGCCCUCCCAUCCCUGACCUCAUUCUCCCCCAAGGUUAGCCAUAGAAACCAGAAGUCCUCUUUCCCAAGGUGGGUCAUAGAAACUUCCAAACCCCUUUUCCCCAAAGCCAGUCAUAAAACCUAAAAAUAUGACUCUAACUUCCACCCCCACCCCACCACCUUUCUGUGUAAAAAUGUGUCAUAAGGAAAUCAUCUAACCUGCCUUGUUUGGUUGUCGGUCGUAAGACCCCCAUUCGAGAGAGGGCCCUGCCCCGUACCCAGCAGGAAGCAAUGCUGCCCAGAGAGGCCACGAGGAAUCUAGACAGGGCUUGCUGGGGGGCCCCACUCACUCUAUGAGCAUUAGCUCAUUCCCUUUUUUGUCCAAUCACAUUUCUAAAUAUUUUGUUGCACCUAAGCUUAAAAGUGGGCAGAGUCCCCUGCAUCUCUGGGUCUUCGUUCUGAAGGCUCCCCUGUCAUGUAACACUAUGACCAAAUAGAUGUGUGUGCCUUUUCUCCUAUUCAUCUGCCUUUUGUCUGUUAAUUUUCAGUGAAACUUCAGAGGGUGAAGGGGAAGUUUUCCUUGGCCCCUACACGUGUCAUUACAAACCCAUAGAAUGUACAAUGCCAAGAGUGGACCUUAGUGCAAGCCAGGGACAUUAGUCAGUAAUAAUGUUCCACGCUGACGCACAAAUGAAAGUUAUUUUAUUUGUGUGAACAGGAGAGCUGACAUGGUCUGUAUUGAUAUCUCCUGGGCAGGGAGGUGGUGAGCACGGCCCCAGAAUUCUGAACUGCCAGGAGCCAGGCAGCUUUGCAUCCUGGAGCUUGGCCAAUUCAGCCGCCCAAGUUCUGGCCAUGGGUCUGCAGCCCCCUGGCCCUUGCCUGCAUAAGCAGGAGAUGAAUGAGAGGAAGCAGAACUCACACAGGAGGCAGGAGGAAGCCACCAGGAAGCUCACUGGCUCCAGGGGCAGCAGAUCUGGGAUGGGGUCCCAGUUCUCUCCUUCCUCAUUCAUGAAAUGGGGCAAUAACAGUACUUACUUCAUUGGAGGUUCUUGGAGGGAAUAAAAGAGAUAUUAGUUAAAGGCAUGGAGCACAGUCCCUGGCACACUGAAAAAGUUUCAUAAAUGUUACCAAUUAAUUGUUUGUAUUAUAUAAUGUCUUCCUGAUAGGUUUUUGGGAAGGAAUAAAUCAAAGGUGAGAAAAUAUAUACAAAAACCUGACUGAGCGAGAACAUAGCUUACACACAAGAAGUGGCAGCUUGGUGAGCACACUGCUAUGUCAUGUUGUGCCUAGUCAUGACAUAGCCAAGGACUGAUACAGGCGCUCCCAUAACCCAUGGAUGGAUUCCUGCUGGACUCUAUUCAUGAAGGUUCUGAUUCUAAUUUUUUUAAAUCCAUGGAUAAAACAGCUACCAGAAAAUCCCAUUUGGGUUUGCAUGUUGUUCUUUGGCUUCGGUGGACAGCAAUCAUAUCAGUUGCAUUUCCCGAGCUAGAGCUCUGAGGCUUAGUCAUCCCCCUCCCUGGCUGGCUUCCAUGCUGUCUGCAGUGGGAGCAUCUUUUAUGAGAUGACAGGAGGGGACUUCAUGGAUGUGCAGCCUGGGCUGCUGGUACUGCCGGGGCUGCUGGUACUGCUGGGACUGCAGGAGAGGGAUGGUUUCUAUUAAUCCUCACAAUGGGAGGGUCCAGUGGGCUGUCACAGCACAGGCAGGGAAUCACAGGCCUCCCUGGGUGACCAGCUGUCCUGGCUGCUACCAGAUUCGGACUCCAGCAGGCUUUCCCUGGGGGCAGAGAUGACCUUGAUCUCUGGGCAGCUAGGCUUCAUGUCCUUGAUAUUUGUGGCCCUGCAUUGUUGGGGCACAGGAUGCAGAGCUGGGGAUGACUGAGCUUAAACUCCUGCUGCUAUGGAGGGCUGCCUCCUUGCCCUGAAUGCCCUGGGAGCCCUUUUAAAAACACAGGUCCAAGGAGUGAUAACAUGAGGGGCAGCACCUCUGGCCCCUGAGAGAGAAACUUGUCCAGUGAUAUGUGCACAAGCAACAUCUCCAGGCAUUCCUUCCAGACAAGGCAAGAGGCCCCCCAGGUGUGAUAUGUUAGCUACACAUGGGCUUGGUCUGUACUGCAAAUGUGUACUCAGUGAUGGGGCCAUUAGAUAUUUGGUUUCUACAUUGCUGCGAUGAAAAUUUACAAAGAACGUUCAUGGGGAAACCAGCUCCCAUCCAUGGGCAGCAGAGGAAUGUUGUCCAAGACUUACAUGGACAGGUAAGACUAAGGUCUCAUCCCAUACUCAGCAGUUCUGUGACCUUUUACAGAACAUAGGGAGGCAAGAAGGGAAAUGAGCCUUAGUUAGCCUCAGGGAGAACCAAGCCAGGUCUGUUUAGGGUCACCACCUUCACUGAACUGCCCUCCACUGGAGGCUAGGAACUGCAGGACAUGAGUUCAACAUCAAAAUAGUAAAAAUAGUGGCAAAUGUUUAGCAGUGUUUGCAACAUAUCAGGUGUCACAGCAACCUCUGCAGGAGAGGUGAGCAGGGCUAAUAUUUAGCAGGUGCACCCUUGUACUGGCUGCCUGCCAUUUAAUAGGUUAGUGCCUCAGCUGGUUAUUGAAUAUUUUCAACAUCGGCCCUGGGUACUAAGAUUAGUUCCCAUUUUACUGAUUAGGAAAUCGAGGUUAAGAGAGGGUAGGCGAUUUGCCUGAGAUCACACAGCCUCGUGUGUGGCAGAGCCUUAGAUUCCAAGCCAGGCUGUCCGAUGCCAGACCUUCACAGCUAUCCUAUGCUUCCACGGCACCCCGGACUUCCCCUUGGAGCACUUGCCAGUGAAACAAACAUGCCCUGGAGAAAUGCCUGGGUUAUGUGAAGUUGGCAGUUCCCAAGGGCUUUAGGCUUGAAGCUGUGGGUCAUACCCCUUCGGAAACUUGGUCCCCAAGAGAAAUGUAUGCUUCUGAAAACCACAGGUGCAUGAAUCGUGUUUAGUAAAUGACUACUAAACUGAAAUCAGGACUUGUCUAUAUCUUGGCUUCUCAAACUUGAAUAUGCUUAUCAUCUGGAUAGCAAAAGCAUUCCUACACGUUGAGGCCUGCCAGCGUGGGUGUCACCCAGGAGCCACUCGGAAAGGCUCAUCGGAAACCACCCCGGACUGACUGAGGCAGAAUCUCUGGGGGCAGGACCCAGGCCUCAGCAUAAAAACUCCAGGUGACGGAAGAGCUCCCACCUAACAGAAAGAAAAUAAAAGAGACUGAGAAACCACAGAAAUAAAGAAGCGCUGAUGACAAUGCCUGCUUGCUGAUGGUUACGAUGAUCAUAGCAGUGUGCAUUUUGUAUGCAUGAAGCCUGCGACUAAAUAAACGUGUGGGGAAAUAUUUGUAAGGAAAUAAGCUAUUAAUAAAAUAAGCUAAAAUCACAGUUGCUGGACUAUGACUGAUUUUUCCCCUUUCUCUCAUUUAAAAUUAAAUAUUUGUAUGACUUGUAUAAUAGAAAAAUACAUGUAUUCAAUCUUAAAAAGAUAUUCUUAUUUUACACUUUACGGGACAAAAGAGGUUGUAGGUUGGAAUGGUUCAGUCCCCUUGUGACAACUCAAAAACAGAGACCUUAAGCCUUUCUCAACCAAUGUUGCGGGACAAGCAGGCGUGUGAGGCGACAAUGCCAUUAGGGUAUUUUUUGGAAAAAUUUUAGUGUGAGAGACAAAAGCCAAAUUCAAACUGGCCUGAGCCAAAAUAGGUAGGAAAGGGAGAAGCGGAGACAGGGAGGAAGAAAGAGAGAGAACAGAAAGAAAAAGGGAGAAAUGUCGAAAGGCAAAAUUACAACACAUUUAGUUAAAUGAUUGAAUUGGUUUUUAUUUGUAAUUCAUGAAUUGGGGCAGCAUCUCCUCUAAAACUUUAGGAAAAGUGCUCUGAUGAGCUAAACAGAGAAGCUUGGCUUUAUAGGCAGAAAAGGGUGAAGAAAGCAGACACAGGGAACAAAAAGCAGAUUGGUAAGCUCAGGUUACUUCAGGUUACUUUCCUUAUAAAGGUUAAAGUAGAGGGGACUUCCUUAUCAUGCUGGCUACAACUGGCCUGUUUGGGGAUUUGCAUAUUAUCUCUCUCUGUCUUGAGUUCUGGGAAGGUCUGAUGACUUAGUUUCAGUUUGGUGAUAUGGAACUUAGCAUGAGUGACUCCAUCUUGGUUUGGUCUACUGGGGCCUCCUGCAGGAGCUCAGCCCAAAUCAGUGACCUCCUAUAAAUUUCAUUUAAUAGAAAAGGAAGGAAGGAAGGAAGGAAGGAAGGAAGGAAGGAAGGAAGGAAGGAAGGGAGGGAGGGAGGGAGGGAGGGAGGGAGGAAGGGAGGAAAGAAGGAAGGAAAGAAAGAAAGUUGCUUAUAAGUUGCUUAUAACUAAAAAGACCAGCUGGACCCAGGAGCUCUGAGGUUGCUUUCAGGCCUCUGUCCAUCUCUUAGUUUUCCAUCCUCAGACAGGCUCUGCCCUGCCUUACAGUCUAGCAUUGUUGGCCAAAGGUGACUGACUGGCCCAGCUUGGGCUAUAUGUCCUUCCCUGUGGCCAGAGAGAUGUGUCUCUGUGAUGGCCAGGCUUGGGUCACGUACUCCCUCCCCUACCAGAAUCACAUGAAAAGAGGGAGGAAGAGCCGCUUUCCACCAAAGGAAACUGAAGUGCUAUUGUCAGAGGGGUUGCUGGGCAGACCAAAAAGAUGACAAUAUCUGCUCCAAUCGCUCGGGUUGUUGGUGCUUGGCAGAUUUGCCCCUACGUCACUUUUCAGAUGUGGAUAAGACUGAAGGUGACCACAGGCUUCCGAGAGGAAAGCUGCCAAUGGGGGUGUGAGAGGAGGGGGAAUUCUUACUCACCAAGGUUAACACUGUGCACACUGUUCUCCGAGGAAGUGGGAAUUUCCACAUGGUGAGUUCCCUUCCCUGUACAAUGAAUUACUAUCUUGAUGAGAAACCCGUGGGCAGCUGGUUGAGAAGAGAAAGGUAUUCUCUGAAUGAGAGGGAAUUUACCACCUUCCUUUCAAUGGUGACAGUUUUUUCUGGUGUCACCGCAGGGUGUGGAUUGAUUCAUAUACAAAUAUACAUAUCUACAUAGAUGCCAUUCUGCUAGCCUCUGCAAAAUGCAUGCCUGGAGACCAUUUCUGCUGCCUAGGAGAUGUCAACUUUGUCACCACCACUCUCUCUCCACCACUCCCACACCCUGCAGGGGCCAGGUGUGUGGGUGGGGAGCUCCCCAGCUGGAGGCCAGAUUAGAGGUCUCUGUGUGGUGGGGAUGGGGAGGAUGGGGUGGGAAUGAGGUGGUAGGCCACUGGCAGUGGUCCAAGUUCCAUCCAGGAUCUGUCCUAGGCCUCUCCCCAGGCUGUCGCUUCCACCAUUGAAUUUCUAACCUGGAUCUCUAAGGUUAUGAAUAUCUCAUUCCCGCAUCCUGGGGUGCUCAGACAUGUCUCCCCUGAGUCUCUAGCUGGGCUCGUGGCUGUGAUCAUUGUCCUCAGAGUUCCAUCCUCCCAACAAAGGGACAGAAGAAACACAGGGCCCACUUUUCUGGAUUCUGAGUUGGAGCCAAGAAAUUCUAUCUGCUGCUUCCUUCCUGUUGAAUUAUCCCCCAAGGACCCCUUAGUCCCUCCAGUCUCCUCCAGAGGCCUAUAGCUGCCCCAGCUCCCCAUGAUGGAUACCUGGCUCUUUCCUACCCAGAGGAAAACGCAGGCCCUUCCCCAGCCCUGCACUGAACUCCUGUGAGUGGCUGAGGAGAUGAGGAGGUGUGAAGAGUGAGUGUGUUGGGGAGGGAGGGGUCCCCUGCCACCAGGUACCAAGGACUUCUGCCAGAUCACCAGAACUGACACCUGGUUCCACCGGCCAGCUGUGAAGUGUCGGCCCUGACAUCAACAGCUGACCUCCCACAGGGCCUAAGGAAACGGAAUUGUGG